UAAAUAAGUCUAUUUAUAGUUCUAAUUAUUUGAUUAAUUACUCCGCAGCGCCACACACUUAUCUCGUCGAUGUGUUCGGAAGACUCUGGGCGAUCGACCAGCUGCAGCGCCUCGGGAUUUCUCGCUUUUUCGAGUCGGAGAUUGCUGAGUGCUUAAGCCACAUCCACAUGUUUAGGUUCUUUGAAAAUGGCGAAAAGCAGAAUAGGUAGCGGUGGAAAAUUUUAAAGAAUUCACAAUUUGUAAUUUCUUGUAAAUAUAAUAGAAGUAUAAUACAAUUAUGAUA